UGAACGCUGGCGGCGUGCCUAACACAUGCAAGUCGAACGAGAACGGGUUAUAGCUUGCUAUAACUGUCAGCUAAGUGGCGCACGGGUGAGUAAUAUAUAGUUAACCUGCCCCAAAGAAGAGAAUAAUUGUUGGAAACGACUUGUAAUGCUCUAUAUGCCUUUAUCACAUAAGUGAGCAAGGGAAACAUUUAUGGCUUUGGGAUGGGACUGUACGGUAUCAGCUUGUUGGUGAGGUAAUGGCUCACCAAGGCUAUGACGCCUAACUGGUUUGAGAGGAUGAUCAGUCACACUGGAACUGAGACACGGUCCAGACUCCUACGGGAGGCAGCAGUGGGGAAUAUUGCACAAUGGAGGAAACUCUGAUGCAGCAACGCCGCGUGGAGGAUGACACAUUUCGGUGCGUAAACUCCUUUUAUGAGUCAAGAAAAUGACGGUAGCUCAUGAAUAAGCACCGGCUAACUCC
rnacentral:rRNA from 1 species